rnacentral:lncRNA from 1 species
UUUCUUUCCAAGUGGGUAGAAAGGUAACUAUAUCACUUAAUGAUUUGGAGCUAUUUUAUAUCAGUCCACGAGGCGAAUCACUGACCAAAAUGCGGGAAUUGCGGAGGAUGAGGAUCAGGAAGAAAUAAAAGUCUGGAGCUUUGUGGCAGAAAAGAGGAAUGAUGACAUCUCCCCUUAAUUCUUAUUUUAUUAUCUUUCUAGAGUUUUGAAAACAUACUCCCUGAUCCACGUAUUCACCUAGCUUCAUCUAAGUCCAAUCUCUUACAUACAUACACCUUUACCUGAUGUCGUUUUUUCCAUAAGACAAUCAAAAAGGCGAAAGUAACGCAGCUCAGUAGAAGGAAAAACGUGCUCAUGGUUCUUCCUUGUCCACUUCUAUUUUCUCAGGACAGAUGCACUCAGCUGGCAGUUGGGAAUCAGGGGGCCGGUAGCCACCCGGCCGGUGGAAACCACGGGCCAGAAUGGUAGGUGCCUCUCACUACCUGGUGCGACUGGGAUACACAAUUCCAUUGAGCUUUAUAUACUGGAAUGGUGUGAGACCUCAUAAUCGGUACGCAUACACGUGGGAGUAAUACACCACAAUCCGAUGACGUAAAAACUAGCCUUCAGGAAGCCAGGAGGCACCUAGCAACCACCCACCUUGUUACUGUCUCAGGUCAUUAGGAGAGUGAGAAAUAAUGAGGGAAAUUGUGAUUUCCAAGAAUUUGAACCAUUAUAGACGUACAGACUCUAAAUAGACUGGUUAAAUAUAUGAUAUAAAAAAAUGUUCUUCCCUCCUUUUUUCUGUAAAGUAUGUCUUUGCUGCAGCCACUCCAAGUUUCAUUUCAAAAAGUUCAGGUCUGGUGUGGUGGUGCAUGCCUAUAAUCCCUGUGACUUGGGAGGCUGAGGCAGAAGGAUCAUAAAUUUGAAGCCAGCCUUAGCCACUUAACAAGUACCUAAGCAACUUAGCAAAACCGUAUCUCAAAAAUAAAUAAAUAAACAAAUAAACAAACAAACAAAUAAAUAAAUAAAAGGGCUGGGGAUGUGGCUCAGUGGUUAAGCACCCCUGUGUUAAAUCUCUGGUACAAAAAAAGUUGAAGAAUAAGAUAGAAAUGCACUGUAAAACAUAGUUACCCACAAAUUGUAAGUCACUGACAUAAAAAGUAUCUCCUCCACACUUCCAUUGCUAUUUUAGGAUUCAUUCAAACCCCAGUCAUAUUGCAAUAGUUAAGUACAUGAUUUUUUAAAAUGUUAUGGUUAACAGUGAUUUUAGGAACACUUCUGUAUAUAAAUCCUCAUUACAAGUUUGUAUUAAAGGUAUUUUUAAUACCAGGCCUUUUUUUGCAAAUGAGGAAAAAGAUUCAGGUUUUAAACUCAUUCAUAGCUAGUAGAAAAACAUGAAUGCUUGGAGUUUUGAGUUCUGAGAUAAACUCUUCCAUUCCUUCACUCUCAUUCACAUCCCCCAAACCUCCAUCUCCAUUCUGAGUUGUGCACAUCAAAUAUUUAAUAUUUUCCAACAAAGAAUUGAAGUAUAUUUUGAUUAGCAUUAAUGAGAGGCAACAGAUACAGGAGUCAUUGCACUAGAAAUGUUAGAUGUGUUCAAGAAAUUUAUUUAAAUGUGGAAGAAAACACUAAAGAACCAGAACUAAAGACAAUAACCAGGCAAUCUCAGGGUGAAUGUUAAACUUCAAUCACUAACUCUGCUUGAGGAACAAUUCUCACCUUCAUAUUGGUAGGAAGGAAAGGAAUUGCAUUUCAUAAAAUACUAUUUUCUAAUGAUUGGUUUAAAGUUUAAAGUUUUAUUAAUUCAACAAAUAUGUACUAAAUACCUAUGUACUGGGCACUGUGUUAUAUUCUGGGAAUAGGAUCAUGUGCAAAAAUAAAGUCCACCUGGAAUGUGUGCUCUAGUAUGGGAGACAGAUAUUAACCAAAUACAGAAAUUAAUGUAAAACUGCUGGAGUAUGAAUGAUAGCAAGAAGUACAUGGUGGCAUGGGAACUUAUGAGAUAUGGAAUGUAAAUAAGAGUAAGAUCCUGGCUUUAUGGUUUAAUCAAUUGGGUGAAGUAACCAAGUAUGGAGUUGCUGAUCAUGACUUUGGUUUGGGACAUGUCAAGUAUGAGCAAUUCAAGACAUGAAACAUUUGAUCUCAGAGAAAUAGUUGAAGACAUGAAUUUGUUAGUCAUCUGCAUGUUCAUGAUAACUGAAACUCUAGAUAUGGAAGAGAUUCCCUAAUGUUACUGUAAGAUGUGCAAAUAGAAGUCAAAUUAGAAUAAAGCCUUGAAGGAUUUCAAUAUUUAAUAACUGGGUAAUAGCACUUCUAUUGGUGUGCUAUUAUGAUUGUCUUGAAUAUAAAUUUCUUGUUUCACUGAAUAAAAUUGAAUGAAGCCCACUAAUCUUAAUCAACAGAAUUUUAAAAUUUUGAUUGUACCAAUAUCCAAGGGAAAACUUCAGAUUUCUUUGAAAGUGUAUGUGUGUGUGUGUG